AAGUCGUAACAAGGUCUCCGUUGGUGAACCAGCGGAGGGAUCAUUAACUGAAACUUGAUAUAACCCUUGCAGAUUAAGAGAAUGUUUCCUUGGCGGGAACCUUUGGGUACCGUCAGAGGAGCCUAAACCAAACACUUGUACUGGCAUCUGAGCGCGACACUUAAAUCAAUAAAAACUUUCAACAACGGAUCUCUUGGUUCUGGCAUCGAUGAAGAACGCAGCGAAAUGCGAUAAGUAAUGUGAAUUGCAGAAUUCAGUGAAUCAUCGAAUCUUUGAACGCACAUUGCGCCCGCCAGUACUCUGGCGGGCAUGCCUGUCCGAGCGUCGUAUAACCGAUCAAGCAUAGCUUGCUGUUGAGAGACCACCGCCCCCGCGGUGGCUCCCCAAAUUCAUCGGCGGAGUCGUGGCGACCCUGAGCGUAGUGGAAAUCUCGCUUCUGGUGGAGCCAUGGCCCCUGCCGCAAAACGACACUCCAGAGGGUCGACCUCGGAUCAGGUAGGAAUACCCGCUGAACUUAAGCAUAUCAAUAAGCGGAGGAAAAGAAACCAACAGGGAUUGCCUCAGUAACGGCGAGUGAAGCGGCAACAGCUCAAAUUUGAAAUCUGGCCCGUCUCGGGUCCGAGUUGUAAUUUGCAGAGGAUGCUUCGGGUGAUGGUCCCUCCGAGUCCCUUGGAACAGGGCGCCUUAGAGGGUGAGAGCCCCGUACGGUUGGACCCCGACCCCGUGUGAAGCUCCUUCGACGAGUCGAGUAGUUUGGGAAUGCUGCUCUAAAUGGGAGGUAAAUUUCUUCUAAAGCUAAAUACUGGCCAGAGACCGAUAGCGCACAAGUAGAGUGAUCGAAAGAUGAAAAGCACUUUGAAAAGAGGGUUAAAUAGCACGUGAAAUUGUUGAAAGGGAAGGACUUAUGACCAGACUUUCUCCGUGGUGAUCAUCCGGUGUUCUCACCGGUGCACUCUCCGCGGUCAAGGCCAGCAUCGGUUCUGGUGGGGGGACAAAGGCUUCGGGAAUGUGGCUCCUCCGGGAGUGUUAUAGACCGUCGCAUAAUAUCCCCGCCGGGACCGAGGUUCGCGCUUCUGCAAGGAUGCUGGCGUAAUGGUCAUCAGUCAC
rnacentral:rRNA from 1 species